AGUCUGGUGCCAGCAGCCGCGGUAAUUCCAGCUCCAAUAGCGUAUAUUAAAGUUGUUGCAGUUAAAAAGCUCGUAGUUGAAUUUCGGGAUCAAUUUAUCGGUCGCGCCAAUGGUAUGAACUGGUACAAUUGGUUUCUCCCUUCUGACGAAGCAUGAUGUCAUUAAUUUGGUGUCGUGGGGAAUCAGGACUGUUACUUUGAAAAAAUUAGAGUGUUUAAAGCAAGCAUUAGCUUGAAUACAUUAGCAUGGAAUAAUGAAAUAGGACGUUUGAUCCUAUUUCGUUGGUUUCUAGGAUCGACGUAAUGAUUAAUAGGGAUAGUUGGGGGCAUUAGUAUUCAAUUGUCAGAGGUGAAAUUCUUGGAUUUAUUGAAGACUAACUACUGCGAAAGCAUUUGCCAAGGAUGUUUUCAUUAAUCAAGAACGAAAGUUAGGGGAUCGAAGACGAUCAGAUACCGUCGUAGUCUUAACCAUAAACUAUGCCGACUAGGGAUCGGAUGAUGUUAAUUUUUUAAUGACUCAUUCGGCGCCUUACGGGAAACCAAAGUGUUUGGGUUCCGGGGGGAGUAUGGUCGCAAGGCUGAAACUUAAAGGAAUUGACGGAAGGGCACCACCAGGGGUGGAGCCUGCGGCUUAAUUUGACCCAACACGGGGAAACUCACCAGGUCCAGACAUAGUAAGGAUUGACAGAUUGAGAGCUCUUUCUUGAUUCUAUGGGUGGCGGUGCAUGGCCGUUCUUAGUUGGUGGAGUGAUUUGUCUGGUUAAUUCCGAUAACGAACGAGACCUUAACCUGCUAAAUAGCUAGGCUUAGCAUUGCUAGGUCGUCAGCUUCUUAGAGGGACUAUCGGUGUUUAACCGAUGGAAGUUUGAGGCAAUAACAGGUCUGUGAUGCCCUUAGAUGUUCUGGGCCGCACGCGCGCUACACUGAUGAAGUCAACGAGUUCACUCCCUUUGUCGGAAGACAUGGGUAAUCUUUUGAAACUUCAUCGUGCUGGGGAUAGAGCAUUGCAAUUAUUGCUCUUAAACGAGGAAUCCCUAGUAAGUACAAGUCAUCAGCUUGUGCUGAUUACGUCCCUGCCCUUUGUACACGCCGCCCGUCGCUACUACCGAUUGAAUGGCUUAGUGAGGACUUCGGAUUGAGCUUCGGAAGCUGUAAAAGGCAUCCGAUUUUUAAAAAGUUGUUCAAACUUGGUCAUUUAGAGGAAGUAAAAGUC
rnacentral:rRNA from 1 species